AGCCCUUCCUCCCUUCCGGAGUCCCCGUGUCGUGCCUCUCCCAGUAUCACCUUACUGCUGGGUAUGAAGAGGUUGUCUGUGCUGCUGGUGGACUACAGGAAAACAACGGGGCUGAGUGGAACUGUGAGAGGAGGAGAAGAGAAGAAAGGAUCAGAUUUGACACAUCAAAAAGAGCGACCCGACUCAGAGGAACCAGAGACAUCUGAACCAUUGAGACGACACCACUGUUCCCAGUGUGGAAAGAGUUAUACCCGUUUAUGGAGCCUGAAAAACCAUACGAGAACACAUGCAGGGAAGAAGCCUUAUCACUGCUCUCAGUGUGGAAAGAGUUUUACACGGUUAGGGAGCCUUGAAAUACAUAAAAGAAUACACACAGGAGACAAACCUUACCAAUGCUUCCAGUGUGGAAAGAGAUUUAUCCAGUCAACACAUCUGAACGAGCAUAAGAGAAUACACACAGGGGAAAAACCAUUCCAAUGCUCUCAGUGUGGAAGGACAUUUUCCCGAUCAGGGGACCUGAAAUCUCAUAAAAGAAUACACACAGGGGAAAAGCCUUACCACUGUUCCCAUUGUAAAAGUAGUUUUAGCUGGUCAGGGCAACUGAACGAGCAUGAGAGAACACACACCGGGGUCAAGCCUUACCACUGCUCCCAGUGUGGAAAGAGUUUUACAAGGUUGGGGUCCCUUAAAUCACAUAAGAUAUAUAUACACACACACAAGAGACAAGCCCUAUAACUACUCCCAGUGUGAAAAUAAGUAUUAUCAUUAGGGGACAUAAAAAAAAGCAAACACUCUGUAGAGAGGCCUUUCCAAUGCUCUCAGUGUGGAAUGGGAUCUGAAAGCGCAUAAGAGAAUAUACACGAGAGAAGCCAUUCCAAUGCUUGCAGUGUGCGAAGAGUUAUACCCGGUAAGGGAAUUUAGAAACUUAUGAGACACACAUGAAAUCAAAAUGUAGAUUUCCAACCCAAAUAGACAAAAGUAACUGCUAUUCAUGUGUAAUUACAUUAUUCUGACAUGCAAAAACUUGGUAUAUUUGGAAAGACGACAUCUGGGAGAUUAUGUUGAAAUUAUCAGAAGAUAAGAGUUACAUAGUUCACAAGAUCAAGCACACAUAAAAUAUUUUUUAUUUUUUUUAAAUUAUUAUUUUAUAUUAUUAUUAUUAUUUUGGCCCCUGCGCAAAAGAUCACCAGUUCUCCUACUAUGUAUUACUAUUGUGUGAUUAGCCCAGUUGGUGUUGUCAUGUGAACUCCCACGGGAGGAAUUAUGGUGUUAUUUUUCUAUCAUUGUAAAUUGUGUAUAGAGAUUGAGCUAACAUUUAUUAUUUAAUGUAUAUUGUUUAUUGGAUUUACAUUCUGUUUCCCUCUGUACACAGACCACUUGUAUACUCUGGUUCAUCAUUAAAACUCCUACUAGAGACUGAG